rnacentral:rRNA from 1 species
UGGGGAAUUUUGGACAAUGGGCGAAAGCCUGAUCCAGCAAUGCCGCGUGUGUGAAGAAGGCCUUCGGGUUGUAAAGCACUUUUGUCCGGAAAGAAAUCCUUGGCUCUAAUACAGUCGAGGGAUGACGGUACCGGAAGAAUAAGCACCGGCUAACUACGUGCCAGCAGCCGCGGUAAUACGUAGGGUGCAAGCGUUAAUCGGAAUUACUGGGCGUAAAGCGUGCGCAGGCGGUUUGCUAAGACCGAUGUGAAAUCCCCGGGCUCAACCUGGGAACUGCAUUGGUGACUGGCAGGCUAGAGUAUGGCAGAGGGGGGUAGAAUUCCACGUGUAGCAGUGAAAUGCGUAGAGAUGUGGAGGAAUACCGAUGGCGAAGGCAGCCCCCUAGGCCAAUACUGACGCUCAUGCACGAAAAGCGUGGGGAGCAAAACAGGAUUAGAUACCCUGGUAGUCCACGCCCUAAAACGAUGUCAACUAGUUGUUGGGGAUUCAUUUCCUUAGUAACGUAGCUAACGCGUGAAGUUGACCGCCUGGGGAGUACGGUCGC